AGUGAACGCUGGCGGUAGGCCUAACACAUGCAAGUCGAACGGCAGCACAGUAAGAGCUUGCUCUUACGGGUGGCGAGUGGCGGACGGGUGAGGAAUACAUCGGAAUCUACUUUUUCGUGGGGGAUAACGUAGGGAAACUUACGCUAAUACCGCAUACGACCUACGGGUGAAAGCAGGGGAUCCUCGGACCUUGCGCGAUUGAAUGAGCCGACGUCGGAUUAGCUAGUUGGCGGGGUAAAGGCCAACCAAGGCGACGAUCCGUAGCUGGUCUGAGAGGAUGAUCAGCCACCCUGGAACUGAGACACGGUCCACACUCCUACGGUGGGCAGCAGUCGGGAAUAUUGGGCGAUGGGGGCGAGCCUGAUCCAGCCAUACCGCGUGGGUGAAGAAGGCCUUCGGGUUGUAAAGCCCUUUUGUUGGGAAAGAAAUGCAGCAGGUUUAUACCCCGCUGUUCUGACGGUACCCAAAGAAUAAGCACCGGCUAACUUCGUG
rnacentral:rRNA from 1 species